CCUACGGGAGGCAGCAGUGGGGAAUAUUGGGCAAUGGGCGCAAGCCUGACCCAGCAACGCCGCGUGAAGGAAGAAGGCUUUCGGGUUGUAAACUUCUUUUAAGAGGGAAGAGCAGAAGACGGUACCUGAGGAAUAAGCCACGGCUAACUACGUGCCAGCAGCCGCGGUAAUACGUAGGUGGCAAGCGUUAUCCGGAUUUACUGGGUGUAAAGGGCGUGUAGGCGGGGAAGCAAGUCAGAUGUGAAAACCACGGGCUCAACCUGUGGCCUGCAUUUGAAACUGUUUUUCUUGAGUACUGGAGAGGCAGACGGAAUUCCUAGUGUAGCGGUGAAAUGCGUAGAUAUUAGGAGGAACACCAGUGGCGAAGGCGGUCUGCUGGACAGCAACUGACGCUGAGGCGCGAAAGCGUGGGGAGCAAACAGGAUUAGAUACCCCAGUAGUC
rnacentral:rRNA from 1 species